GGCCGCGGGAAUUCGAUUCAGGCCUAACACAUGCAAGUCGAACGGGGUUAAGUGAAAUUUUUGGAUGGAGCUUAACUUAGUGGCGGACGGGUGAGUAACGCGUGGAUAACCUGCCUCACACUGGGGGAUAGCAGCUGGAAACGGCUGGUAAUACCGCAUAAGACCACAGCACCGCAUGGUGCAGGGGUAAAAGAUUUAUCGGUGUGAGAUGGAUCCGCGUCUGAUUAGCCAGUUGGCGGGGUAACGGCCCACCAAAGCGACGAUCAGUAGCCGGCCUGAGAGGGUGAACGGCCACAUUGGGACUGAGACACGGCCCAAACUCCUACGGGAGGCAGCAGUGGGGAAUAUUGCACAAUGGGCGCAAGCCUGAUGCAGCAACGCCGCGUGAGUGAAGAAGUAUUUCGGUAAAAGAGCUCUAUCGGCAGGGAAGAAAGGCC
rnacentral:rRNA from 1 species